UAACCCCUCAUAUGUUCGUCCUGACCUGGUCGGACCAUCAUCAUUCCACUUCAUAGUGAAAUGCCUUCAUUGCCGUGCCAUGCAUAUUUCUGAGGGGAAUUUUUUUGGUCGAAACGAGGACUCUUCGAUUGACCAGACAGGCACUUUCCAAGGGUGCCACGUACUGAGGAAUGCGGUCGGAGCGUGGGCGCACGGGCCGCGCGCUCCGUGAGUAGGGGGCCUCUCCCGCGGCGCCUGAGAGCCGGGUCCGCGCGCAGAGGCCCUGGGGGCGCGCGUGCCGGGUGCGCGCUGGCCAGCUGUGACUGCCGCUGAGGGAGCUGCGCGGCGCCUCUGGGAGCCGAGCGCCGGGCGCCUGGAGGGCAGGUCGGGCCUCUUGCCGCUAAGGUCAGCGGCUGCGGUUUGAGAAGACUGCAGCUGCUUCCUGUGUUACGCUGUCGCAGACAAGCAGAAGUUAAAAACUAGUAAAUGACUUAAAGAGAUGGGGUCUCACUAUGUUGCCCAGGGUUACUGCCAUACUUGUGGAUUGCCAGGUUAACUCUGCAAGCUACACGAACAUGGCCUCUGCCUCCCUUACAUUUUCUACAUAUCAAGAUGCCCAUGGGAUACCUAAUACAUCUGAGUUAAG